rnacentral:rRNA from 1 species
GGGGAAUAUUGCACAAUGGGGGAAACCCUGAUGCAGCGACGCCGCGUGAAGGAAGAAGUAUCUCGGUAUGUAAACUUCUAUCAGCAGGGAAGAUAGUGACGGUACCUGACUAAGAAGCCCCGGCUAACUACGUGCCAGCAGCCGCGGUAAUACGUAGGGGGCAAGCGUUAUCCGGAUUUACUGGGUGUAAAGGGAGCGUAGACGGUGUGGCAAGUCUGAUGUGAAAGGCAUGGGCUCAACCUGUGGACUGCAUUGGAAACUGUCAUGCUUGAGUGCCGGAGGGGUAAGCGGAAUUCCUAGUGUAGCGGUGAAAUGCGUAGAUAUUAGGAGGAACACCAGUGGCGAAGGCGGCUUACUGGACUGUAACUGACGCUGAGGCUCGAAAGCAUGGGUAGCAAACAGGAUUAGAUACCCUGGUAGUCCAUGCCGUAAACGAUGAUUACUAGGUGUUGGGGGAUUGACCCCCUCAGUGCCGCAGUUAACACAAUAAGUAAUCCACCUGGGGAGUACGACCGCAAGGUUGAAACUCAAAGGAAUUGACGGGGGCCCGCACAAGCAGUGGAGUAUGUGGUUUAAUUCGAAGCAACGCGAAGAACCUUACCAGGUCUUGACAUCCCUCUGACCGGGACUUAACCGUCCCUUUCCUUCGGGACAGGGGAGACAGGUGGUGCAUGGUUGUCGUCAGCUCGUGUCGUGAGAUGUUGGGUUAAGUCCCGCAACGAGCGCAACCCCUAUCCUUAGUAGCCAGCACGUAGUGGUGGGCACUCUGAGGAGACUGCCAGGGAUAACCUGGAGGAAGGCGGGGAUGACGUCAAAUCAUCAUGCCCCUUAUGAUUUGGGCUACACACGUGCUACAAUGGCGUAAACAAAGGGAAGCGAACCUGUGAGGGUGGGCAAAUCUCAAAAAUAACGUCCCAGUUCGGACUGCAGUCUGCAACUCGACUGCACGAAGCUGGAAUCGCUAGUAAUCGCGGAUCAGAAUGCCGCGGUGAAUACGUUCCCG